rnacentral:lncRNA from 1 species
CUGAUUGGGAAGAGCACCAGAGAACUGGAAAACCCCACGGGCUUCUCAGAGGUCUACUUGAACACUCAUGGAGGGCAGAGCACCUAGACCUGUCAUUUUUAAGGAUGGCAGAUCAUCAGAAUUACACAGGUUCUAUAGGCUAGCCUCAAACAUUCUGAUUGGACCAUCCUUACAUGAAGACGUGAGCUUUUCCAAAAGUCCCCUUGGGUGAUUCUAACACACACUGACCCAGUCCUCAGAUUCCUCGCCCGGCAGCUUUGAGACAGGCAUGACAUUAGAGGCUCCCAUCAUUGGCCUUGCUCACUCUCCUUUCACCGUUCUCUGGAGGAAGAGGUGGGUGCUGGAUUUCUGACCUAUCUCCAGAUAAUCUGUCCAGUUAUCCUGCAGCCAUUUCCUGGAGCUGUUGGAACAAAUCAUGAACUUGGUGCCUUGAAACAGAAGAACUAUGUCCACUUGGUUCUGAAGGCCAGAAGUCUCAAAGUAAGAAGUCAGCAGGAUGCGUUCUCCCGAGACCCCGAGAGGCCCAUUCCUUGUCUCUUGCAGCUUUUGCUACAAGCGUUUAUUGGGUAUUUAUAUGAGUGUUUAUUGGCCAUGGCCGCCUGCUUCGCAUAGCUGACUCCAUCUUCUCAGGACCUUGGCAUCUAAGGACAUUUGUAAUUGGAUUUAGGCCACACAGAUGAAACAGGACAACUUACUCUUGAGACCAACAAUUACAUCUUCAGCCACCCCUGUUUCCAGAUAAGGUCAUAAUUACAUGUUCCGGAAGUUAAGACACUGACACGUAUUCUUGGGGUAGAGAGGUCAUAGCACAGUUCAGCUCCCUUCGUCUUCUUUGCAUCAUCCAUGUGCAGUACACGCUAUGAUUUGUUUCUCACACUUGGUCUUUACAGUUGAGGAUGAGGUUUCUCAAAAAUGCUUUGCCAGUGUCUGGUCAUGCACAACCUUGGACAUCCCCAGGGAAGUGUUGUGAGUCACAGCCCCACAAAAAUAAUGCAGGGGCCGUGGUAUGCGUGGCCAAGACGUGAGUCAUUUACCAAAAUAGACAAGAGGAGAACUAGAUUAGUAAAAGGGAACCCUGCUCGUACAUGACAGGUGUCUGCCAUCGACCCAUAAUCAGCCUUUCAAUGGGCAGGUCUAGCCUUUGCUACCUGGAAAGUCUAAACUAAACUCCAGCCAAACUGAUCUUACUAAUAUGCAGGUAGCCUCAUGCCAGAAAUCCAAACAGCCAACUAUUAGGACAUAUGUGAAUGGAAAUAUUUGACCUCUUCUCUCCUUAAGAUACAUAAACCCUACUUAAUUCAGGAUAUGUGAAACUUGUGUGUAUAUGUGUGUGUGUGUGUGUGUGUGUGUGUGUGUAGUGUGUGUAUACUUUUAAUUAAAAAUAUUUAAUG